ACUGCUCAGUAACACGUGGACAACCUACCCUUGGGUCUGGCAUAAUCCUGGGAAACUGGGUAUAAUUCCGGAUAGGUCACAGAUGCUGGAAUGCACUGUGGCCGAAAGCUCCGGCGCCCAAGGAUGGGUCUGCGGCCUAUCAGGGUUGUAGUGGGUGUAACGGACCUACUAGCCUACGACGGGUACGGGUUGUGAGAGCAAGAGCCCGGAGAUGGAUUCUGAGACACGAAUCCAGGCCCUACGGGGUGCAGCAGGCGCGAAAACUUUACAAUGCGGGAAACCGUGAUAAGGGAAUCUCGAGUGCCAGCAUAUAAUGUUGGCUGUCCAGAUGCCUAAAAAGCAUCUGUUAGCAAGGGCCGGGCAAGACCGGUGCCAGCCGCCGCGGUAACACCGGCGGCCCGAGUGGUAACCGCUUUUAUUGGGUCUAAAGGGUCUGUAGCCGGCCAAGUAAGUCCCUUGGGAAAUCUGGCAGCUUAACUGUCAGGCUGCUAGGGGAUACUGCUAGGCUUGGGACCGGGAGAGGUGAGAGGUACCUUGGGGGUAGGGGUGAAAUCUUGUGAUCCUCGGGGGACCACCAGUGGCGAAGGCGUCUCACCAGAACGGGUCCGACGGUAAGGGACGAAAGCUAGGGGCACGAACCGGAUUAGAUACCCGGGUAGUCCUAGCCGUAAACGAUGCUCGCUAGGUGUCAGUCACGGUGCGACCGUGAUUGGUGCCGUAGGGAAGCCGUGAAGCGAGCCACCUGGGAAGUAUGGCCGCAAGGCUGAAGCUUAAAGGAAUUGGCGGGGGAGCAC
rnacentral:rRNA from 1 species